UUAAACUUUUAUGUCGUCAAUUUAUUAAUUUCUAAUUGACUUGGGUUAAUUUAAUUUUGUUUUUAGUGACGAACCCGUUUGAAGCAAUUGGAAAGGAAGAAGGCAAAAUUGAGUCAAAUCUACUAGUUGGGAUUAAAUUUCCCAAGUUUGAAAUUGAGGAGGACAUUGGUUGCACAAAUAAAAUUCAUAUCAAGGACUAGAUU
rnacentral:lncRNA from 1 species